CGGUGGCGGCUAAGGGCGUGGGCGUUGGUGACAGUCAUGGGUUGGAAUCGUGCUUUGUAACUUAUUAGCUAUGUGGCCCUGAGAAAGUCGCUGCACCUCUUAGAGCCUCAGUUUCCCUGUCUGUAGAACGGGCUCAUCGCCUGCCCCACACUGUUGCUUUGAAAAGGAAACGCGCACGCAAGUGCCUUGAGCACAGCAGCUGGGCCGAUUUUAAGCGCUCAAAAUACGGUAGCGAUCAUGAUGAUUGCAUCGUGAAGAUAAGGAAAUGACAAGUGCUAUCCGUGCCUGGUGGUAACUCAGUGGCUCUAGGAAGAAGAGUAAAUAUGGACGCAAUUUAUCACUCGGAGCGCCCUGCUAUCAGAGACAGAUGCCGUCAGUUAAAUAAAACAGACCCGAAGACCUGCCAGAAAGAUCAACCCGAGAAACAAUUGGCUAAUUUGCUGAUCGGCAGUGGACAGUGGGCCUUUGGUGACACACACACCAGCCAUAUCUUUCUGCUAAUUCUUACCCGAGUUACACGUUGCUUUUUGCACCCAGCGGGAGAAGAGACACUGAGCGUCUUUAACCGAAAAACGUAACAGAGGUAGGUCCAACCCUGCAAAAGCCGUACGACUGCGGCUUUACUGCAAGGGGCCACCAGACAUCCCAGUUCGCCGGGGACCGUGGUUUUCCCUGGGGACGUAGGGCGUUCAGCGCCCAAUCCCGGACAAACAGGGAUGGUGGCCCCAGGUGCGAGUGACAGUCAACCCCAGGGGGAAGCAACAUUGGGUGAAAGCUGGCUUGUGCCUAGCCUUGAAGAAAUCCUACCUGCCCCCAUAUGGCAAAACAGACUGUGAACCCAUUAGCAGUAAGAAUGUGGGGUCACGUGGGACCUGUGCGGGAGGUGCACCAGCCAAGGUAAAAGUCCAGGGAGACCUCGGAGAGGCGAACGCGCGGGGGGCCGGAAGAGGAUCUUGGACAGACAGACAGCUUUUCGCUUCGCAGAGCCCUGCUGAUGCAAAACCGCGGAGCCCGGCCUCGCUCAUCGGACCCCAGACCCUCCGCCCCUUCCUCAGGAUAUAUCCGAGCGUGUGCUGUAUAAUCCGGGGCCGUAUCCACGAAAUGCACAUAAUUCUCCCCCUUCAGCUGUUGCCACUGCUUUCUGAGACUCCGUAUAUAAAUAUCUGUGCGUGUGCGUUUGUGUGUACAUUUCCUGACAUAUUUACGAAGUCUCAGUUUGCCAACCUUUGGGGCAUAAUGCAAGAACUAUUUUUCAUCCUAA